rnacentral:lncRNA from 1 species
CUAUACACCACAGACCACUUCUUUUCCUUUUCAACAGAAGUGAGGGCUUCCAGAGCAGUCUGAGGAAAAGGCUGGAGGCCAGUGAGUCCACCUCUUGGGCUGCCCCCCGCUGCCUGUAGGUUUUGUCAUUAUUCUAGACCUGUAUCCUCUGCCAAAUGGACAGCAACCUGGGGUUGCCAACCUCCAGCCCCCGUGGCUGUCAGAGGCCACUGAGCUGCCAAGAGAAUACCCGAGCCCUGGUUUCUCAGAAAAGUGGAUUCAAAUAUUUUGAUUAAGGGAAUUCCUAAAUUAGAAAACAUUGGAACCAAGAUUCGCUGGAGGUUCCGAUUUCUGCGAUCUGGGCCGCGGGGGGCCCUGCUUAACCACGGAGGAAUCAGCUCAGAUUUAGAAGUCUGGUCAAUUUCAGAAUUCCGAGACCCGGUUCUAGAGAAGCGGCUGCGUGCUCGGGAACCCUGCGUCAACAACCAAACCCUGGAGAAGCUGCGGGAAUAUCUUUAUUGGAUUUUGCGAAGAGCACUUGGGGUUUCUCUUAGGUUUUGA